rnacentral:rRNA from 1 species
AUCAGACAAUAAGGGCACACGGUGGAUGUCUUGGCAUCGAGAGGCGAUGAAGGACGCGUGAACCUGCGAUAAGCCCAAGGGAGCUGGUAACAGAGCUGUGAUCUUGGGAUUUCCGAAUGGGGCAACCCACCCGCAAGGGUACCUGACUCUGAAUGCAUAGGGGUCAGGAGCGAACCUAGGGAAGUGAAACAUCUCAGUACCUAGAGGAAAAGAAAGCAAAAGCGAUUCCGUGAGUAGCGGCGAGCGAAAGCGGAUAAAGCGAUCUCGCGGAGGAAGGUGUUGGAAUGCACCGCCUCAGAAGGUGAAAGCCCUGUACCCGCGAUCGUGGAGCCCACGAGUAAACUCGGGCUCGUGAAACCCGGGUUGAACAUGGGGGGUCCAUCCUCCAAGGCUAAAUACUACUCGAUGACCGAUAGUGAACCAGUAAGGCGACUGAACGAUAAAAAGAACCGCGACGAGCGGAGUGAAAGAGAUCUGAAACCGUGUGCUUACAAGCGGUCGGAGCUCGUAAGAGUGACGGCGUGCUUUUUGCAUAAUGAGCCGACGAGUUGGUCUAUGCGGCGAGCCUAAGGCCCAACGGGCCGGAGGCGGAGCGAAAGCGAGUCCGAAACGGGCGACAAGUCGCAUGGGCCAGACGCGAAACCUUGUGAUCUACCGUUGGUCAGACUGAAGGGCGGGUAAAACCGCCUGGAGGGUCGAACGCGUGACCGUUGAAAAGGUCUGCGAUGAACUGACGGGAGGCGGUCAAAGUCCAAUCAAACUGGGAGAUAGCUCGUUCUCUCCGAAAUAACUUUAGGGUUAGCCUCCGGGAGCAAACUGUGGAGGUAGAGCUACUGGAUGAUUGCAGGGGUCUACCCGACUACCUCGAUCAACCAAACUCCGAAUGCCACAGUCCAAGCCCGGGGAGAUAGACGGCGAGUGACAAUAUCCGUCGUCAAAAGGAGAAAAAUCCAGACCGCCGGCUAAGGCCCCCAAUCUGUGCUUAGUUCGAAAGGAAGUCACGUUGCGGAGACAGCCAGGAUGUUGGCUUAGAAGCAGCCAUCAUUUAAAGAGUGCGUAACAGCUCACUGGCCGAGGAAUGUGGCGCCGAUAAUGAUCGGGAAUAAGCAUGGAGCCGAAGCCGCGGACUCGAAAGAGUGGUAGGAGAGCGUUCUUGGUGCGGUGAAGUCGUCCCGGAAGGGUAGAUGGAGCGCUAAGAAGUGCAUAUGUCGGCUUGAGUAACGAUAAACACGGUGAAAAUCCGUGUCGCCGUAAGCCCAAGGGUUCCUGGGGCAGGGAAAUCCGCCCAGGGUUAGCCGGGUCCUAAGGCAAGGCCGAGAGGCGUAGUCGAUGGAUAGCAGGUUAAUAUUCCUGCGCUCUCGCGGAGAUCAAACCAUGGUUCGGAUUGCCGGACUCUGGCGAGGAGACAGAUCCUCAAGCCAGGGAAAGGGAGUCUCUAGAAAAGCCAUGGGGGCAAAGCGAGACCCGUACCAAAACUGACACAGGUGGGCGAGGCGAAUAGCCUCAGGCGCUCGAGAGAACGGUCGUGAAGGAACUAGGCAAUAUAACCCCGUAAGUUCGCAAUAAGGGGGCCCUCGCCGCAAGGCAGGGCGCAGAGAAGAGGAUCUGGGAACUGUUUAUCAAAAACACAGCACUGUGCCAACUCGCAAGAGGAAGUAUACAGUGUGACGCUUGCCCAAUACUGGAAUGUCAAGGAAGUGGCUCAGCGCAAGCGAAGGUCAUGACCGAAGCACCAGUGAAUGGCGGCCGUAACUAUAACGGUCCUAAGGUAGCGAAGUUCCUUGUCGGGUAAGUUCCGACGCGCAUGAAUAGCGUAAUCACUGGAUCACUGUCUCCACGACCGACUCGGU